rnacentral:rRNA from 1 species
AUGCCGAUGUUAUUCAUUGUAAUAUCAGAGACCUUGUAUUCAUAUCCGUGUAAUAAUAGAAAGAUGGUUUGUUCUAUGCUAAGCAGUGCCGUAUUCCAGAAGACUUCACCUCGAUCUCUGGGCUGGAAUACGGGGCGUUCCGGUUUCUCUGAACCGGGGUGCCACACCUUUCAAGAAGGCGACUUGGUGCUCCAGCUUAUCCAGGAUCAGACUGAUAUGCACAAAUUAUCCCCACCUUGGGAAGGGCCUUUUGUGGUCAGCAAAAAUCUGAACAAUGGGUCAUACUAUCUUAUCGAUAUUCGAGACCAUAAGGACUCACGCACGUCGGAGGAGGAGACCCACCGGCCAUGGAAUAUUGCUCAUCUUCGGCCAUACUAUACAUGA